rnacentral:rRNA from 1 species
GACGAACGCUGGCGGCGUGCUUAACACAUGCAAGUGGAGCGACGAACCAGGGCUUGCCCUGGGGCAAAGCCGCGAACGGGUGAGUAACACGUGGGUAACCCACCCCGAUGAUUGGGACAACCCGAGGAAACUCGGGCUAAUACCAAAUGUGCUCGCUGCUCAUGAGGGCAGCGAGUAAAGAUAGCUUCGGCCUUCGCAUCGGGACGGGCCCGCGGCCCAUUAGCUUGUUGGUGAGGUAACGGCUCACCAAGGCGACGAUGGGUAGCUGGUCUGAGAGGACGAUCAGCCACACUGGGACUGAGACACGGCCCAGACUCCUACGGGAGGCAGCAGUGGGGAAUUUUGGACAAUGGGGGCAACCCUGAUCCAGCCAUUCCGCGUGAGUGAAGAAGGCCUUCGGGUUGUAAAGCUCUUUCGGCAGGAACGAAACGGCGAGCUCUAACAUAGCUUGCUAAUGACGGUACCUGAAGAAGAAGCACCGGCUAACUACGUGCCAGCCGCCGCGGUAAAAC